rnacentral:rRNA from 1 species
CGUAGGGGGCGAGCGUUGUCCGGAAUUAUUGGGCGUAAAGAGCGUGUAGGCGGUUCGGUAAGUCUGCCGUGAAAACCUGGGGCUCAACCCCAGGCGUGCGGUGGAUACUGUCGGGCUAGAGGGUGGUAGAGGCGAGUGGAAUUCCCGGUGUAGCGGUGAAAUGCGCAGAUAUCGGGAGGAACACCAGUAGCGAAGGCGGCUCGCUGGGCCAUACCUGACGCUGAGACGCGAAAGCGUGGGGAGCAAACAGGAUUAGAUACCCUGGUAGUCCACGCCGUAAACGAUGAACACUAGGUGUGGGCGGAGUCGAAUCUGUCCGUGCCGCAGCCAACGCGUUAAGUGUUCCGCCUGGGGAGUACGGCCGCAAGGCUA